rnacentral:rRNA from 1 species
AGCGAACGCUGGCGGCAGGCUUAACACAUGCAAGUCGAACGCCCGGGCAACCGGGAGUGGCAGACGGGUGGGUAACGCGUGGGAACGUGCCCUUUGGUUCGGAAUAACUCAGGGAAACUUGAGCUAAUACCGGAUAAGCCCUUACGGGGAAAGAUUUAUCGCCGAAGGAUCGGCCCGCGUCCGAUUAGCUAGUUGGUGUGGUAAUGGCGCACCAAGGCGACGAUCGGUAGCUGGUCUUAUAUGUUUAUCAGCCACACUGGGACUGAGACACGGCCCAGACUCCUACGGGAGGCAGCAGUGGGGAAUAUUGGACAAUGGGGGCAACCCUGAUCCAGCCAUGCCGCGUGAGUGAUGAAGGCCCUAGGGUUGUAAAGCUCUUUCGGCGGGGACGAUAAUGACGGUACCCACAGAAGAAGCCCCGGCUAACUUCGUGCCAGCAGCCGCGGAAAUAC